UACGAGGGGUGCAAGCGUUGCUCGGAAUUAUUGGGCGUAAAGGGUAGGUAGGUGGUCUCGUUUGUCUGGGGUGAAAGCCUUGAGCUUAACUCAAGAAGUGCCCUAGAAACGGCGAGACUAGAGUCCUGGAGAGGGUCGUGGAAUUCCCGGUGUAGCGGUGAAAUGCGUAGAGAUCGGGAGGAACACCAGAGGCGAAGGCGGCUCACUGGCCCGAUACUGACGCUGAGGCACGAAAGCGUGGGGAGCAAACAGG
rnacentral:rRNA from 1 species